GGACUUCGGCAUUGAAGGAGAGAAUUUAAAAAUGUAAGGAACCAACAGGAGCCGAGGAACUUCCCUUACGAUGUGUUUCCAUGUCCAUUCUCUCAUUUAAUUUCUGCUGCUCUCCAAAAACGUGGAAAUGGACAUACAGUCUCAGGACGAAGGGUCCGGGAAAGACUCCUGACUCUGCAGGUGUGCGGGGCCCCUUCACUAACCACGGAAAUGGUACCCUGUUUAUCAGCAAGUCACUUCCACCCUCCCAGCCUCAGUAUCCUUGCCUACAAAACACUCCUAUGAAAACCCUGCCUUAUAGCCCCUGCCGGUGGUUGCGAAUAAGCCUAGAGGUACGUGGACCCUGGAGUCAGGCUGUGGAGUCGGCUCCUCCACUUACUGUUUGUCCAACAUCAGACAAGUGAUUUAACCUCUCUGAUGUCUUGGUUUCCUCACUGGUAAAACACGGAGAGUAUUAAUCCUGCCGGCAGAAGGUUGCUAUAAAAUGCAGAGGCGUUCAUUCAGGUAAAGUUCUUAGUACAGGGCCAGGCCCAGAGUAACUCUGCCAAAAUGUUACCUCCUGUUAUUAUUACUGCUAUUAAAUUAAUGACUCUUACUACCAUUAUUAUUGUUAUUAUCAUGAUCAUAGCAUGUGCAGUUGACUUUAUUGGCUACCAGGCAGCAAGAGCAGAGGUUUCUGAGCCGUCUUUGGAUCAGGGAGUCAGUCUCACACCCAGGUUGGCCCAGAAGAUGUGCGAACGCUGAAUGUAGUAAUCGUUUGACACAAACUUCUGGAAACAGUGCUAGAUUGGGAUGGGGAAGUCUGGACUUUUGUCCCCUUGCUCUACCACUGAUUCUCUGAGAGACGGUGCCCGUCGCCCGCUUGGCUGGAGCCCCUUCUGGCCUGGGUGUAGCUCUCUGGCUCCUUCCACAGCAGGGAACUCUUGAUCCGAGAGCUCUUGCAGGGGUUACGUGAGGCGACAGAACAGGUGCUGAAUAAAUGCUCGUUCCUCCUCUGCACAAGGUGUGUGCACAGCUCAUCGUUUGUGAACUGAGGAAGCGCCAGAUGCGAUGAAUCCCGAAAUCACUUUCCCAUAGAAUAUGCUUGGCUUCUCGAGAAAUCGUCAAGCUCAGACAGUGGAGACAGCUGUGGUUUUCUGAAUGGUGGGAAAUUUGGCCACGGAGGCCGUGGCAGGACAGAUGGGAGAAGGGAGCCAUGAAUUAACAAAGGCAUGAAUGAGCCAUUCAGCUGGAGGGCGUUGGGCACCCGAGGAUCCGGGCUCACUUGUUAACUUUGCCCAAUUCGCCGGUUCCUGUUGGGGUCUUUAUAGGCCAAGCGGAAGACCCAGGGCCUGAGUAACAGCCAGGGGCAUUUUUAAAGUCCAUUGACAAAGAUGAAUGAAACGACACUGGAGGCGUGGCCACAGGGAUGACCAGUGUUCUCAUGGGACUCAGAGAUCAUCAGGGCAGAUGCUCCGUCCAGAAAAACAACACAGAACACCACGCAAAACCACUAGACCUGAAAGGGUGUGUGACUCACCCAGUCACCCUGAGCCCUCACUCAUUCUUCAUCUACAGUUUGCUGAGCCCGUGCUGCACCCCGGCGUGGGCCUGAGGGCUGCUGGUAGAAAGAGGCGCAAAAACGCUCUUCGUGCCUCAGGCGCUGCCAGAAACCAAGAAGCUAAACCAGUGAUUCCAAGUGCAUUUACUGAUCUUCAGCUGUCUCCUCCCGCAGAUCGGAUCCAUGUCAAGUUGGCCACGAGCCACCUCUUUUCUUCCUCAGUGAUUUGCGUGAGGACCAAAUCUGCGGGGUGACAUCAUCGGUCCCCAGUCUUGCCCACUGCCUGCUGGCCUGGGAAGCUGGCCUGCAGGGAUUAGGUCAAAGAAGACAUACGGGGCUCAGCCAGUGGGAGCCCCAGUAGGACUGGGGGAGAGAAAGUCAGAUCCAGUCUUCCACACUGUGUCUGGCGCCAUAAAAACUUUGCAGAGGGAUGCGUGAAAGGAGAGAUGGAUGGAUGGAUGUGGGGAAGUGACCUGAGAUCAUCCUGUCCCACCGGAUGUGCCCAAGGGGAUGCCACUUGGCAGAGCUGGCCUGAGAAACUGCAGUGCUGGGCUUCAGGUCCUGUGGCUUUGCUGGAGGAGGUCAUCGAGAGGACAUGACAGCCGGUUGACCUUCAACCUGAACCAAGGCAACUGGAGGCCCCUGCCCCCCCCCCCUUGGAAUGUCUUUGAAUUGUCUGCUCUGCCCACCGUUCCACAGUGGCAGCUGCUUUUGAGGAUGCAGCCUUGAGAGAGUAUGAUGUAUGCGACUGAACCCGUUCAGGCCUCUCUGUCAACUUUUGGAGACUGUGCUGGGUGGAAGCAGAGGUCCACCCAUCUUGAAGCAGGAGACAAGCCUCUCUGGGAGCUCUCUACUUACACGGCCUGUCAUCUACCCGUCCGGAGUGGCUGCCUCUUUCUUCCUUCUUUCCUUACCCUCCAGGCACGAGGGCCAGUUUGAGAACCAACAGGCUUUGCCACUGUAGCUCAGCCUGACAUCUUUUAGCAAAAGACGGAACACAGCAAGUUUGUAUACAAUGCCAUCUCUGAAUAUGGCAAAUACCAACAGAAAGGGAGAAAAACUACAGUGCCUCGGGGGACCUGAAACUCCGCAGUCCCUGCGCUUGAAACGCAUAAUGAUUUUCAGCAGUGAUUCCACGCAUCCUGGUGGGUAAGCGCUGGUUCUCUUUCCUCUGUAUCAGGUUUUGCCAAUGACCAUGUUGGAGCCAGGGACCAGGGGCCAGCCAGGCAGGAGCCGGUGAUAAUGGGGUUGUGUUUAUUGGUUUACCCUCCAGAUAUAUCAUCUGUGCCACUUAACUUGAUGCCACAGACAACACUGCAUUAACCAACUGUUGGGCAAAUUGCUGGUCAUUCGGUUUGUUGGAAAAGAGCACUGUGCCAGGAGCCCUAACACCUGCCCUCUAGAAUUUGCUCUGCCAUUAAAUGACUCUGGGAAAGUCAUUCACUUUUAGGGUCUCUUCCUCUGGAAGCCAAGGGAGCUGGUAGCCAAGUGUUUCAUCCUCUGUGUUUCAUGAACCUGCUGGGAUUGGGAAACAUAUUUUUGGAGUUGUUGGGUGUUCUGUGAGAAUUUUCAAAUUCUGUGUUUUUAUUUAGAUGAAGGUUGAUGAAAAGCUGAAAGUGAUUCCUCAGCCGUGUAUAUGAAUAAUUCAGGGCCAAUAUCUUCUUAUAAUUUGCCCAGCAUUUGCUUUUGUAUUAACUAUCUCAAGUGAAAGCCUUCGGUAUCAAAGUUUGGCUUCCCUUGUCCCAUUUUUCUUAGCAGUGCGUUUCAGAUUUCAGGUUUGAUAAUCACUGGACUGGAUACACAUCGCUUGCUAAGAUUUGGUGAUUUAUUUUUUUGAAAUAACUGGGAGAGGUUGGUUCCACUUAUUCCCUUAUAUUUUAUUCACUCGUAUGUUUGUCACAUGUUGUCUUGUGUGCCCAUGGUGAACCAGAGACACUACUCUUCCAGCCACUGAGGUUAGUCUCCAUGUGUUUCCGGAAUGUCACAGCUGGCCGGGGACGCACCCAAGGAGUUCCUAGACGUGGGACUAUAAAUUGAAACUGUCUUUAGGCAACCAUACAGUAAAUCCGUCUGGAUAGUUAGUGUCACAUAAACUCUGGCCCACGGAUUCGGAAGCAGCGGAGAUCCGUCUGGGUCUGGGUGAUGGAAGGAUUGCCUCACCGGCCUUCAGAGGUGUCAUGAGGAUGGAGGAGACAUUCUGGGUAAAACGGUGUCGAAAACAAAGAUUUUUUGCUUCCUUGAAGGCAGGGACGACCGCUCCCAACGUUUGUUUUUGCUUCUUA